UGAACGCUGGCGGCGUGCCUAAUACCUGCAAGUCGAGCGAACAGACGAGGAGCUUGCUCCUCUGACGUUAGCGGCGGACGGGUGAGUAACACGUGGAUAACCUACCUAUAAGACUGGGAUCACUUCGGGAAACCGGAGCUAAUACCGGAUAAUAUAUUGAACCGCAUGGUUCAAUAGUGAAAGACGGUUUUGCUGUCACUUAUAGAUGGAUCCGCGCCGCAUUAGCUAGUUGGUAAGGUAACGGCUUACCAAGGCAACGAUGCGUAGCCGACCUGAGAGGGUGAUCGGCCACACUGGAACUGAGACACGGUCCAGACUCCUACGGGAGGCAGCAGUAGGGAAUCUUCCGCAAUGGGCGAAAGCUUGACGGAGCAACGCCGCGUGAGUGAUGAAGGUCUUCGGAUCGUAAAACUCUGUUAUUAGGGAAGAACAAAUGUGUAAGUAACUAUGCACGUCUUGACGGUACCUAAUCAGAAAGCCACGGCUAACUACGUG
rnacentral:rRNA from 1 species